rnacentral:rRNA from 1 species
GAUGAACGCUGGCGGCGUGCCUAAUACAUGCAAGUCGAGCGAACGGACGAGAAGCUUGCUUUUCUGAUGUUAGCGGCGGACGGGUGAGUAACACGUGGAUAACCCACCUAUAAGACUGGGAUAACUUCGGGAAACCGGAGCUAAUACCGGAUAAUAUUUUGAACCGCAUGGUUCAAAAGUGAAAGACGGUCUUGCUGUCACUUAUAGAUGGAUCCGCGCUGCAUUAGCUAGUUGGUAAGGUAACGGCUUACCAAGGCAACGAUGCAUAGCCGACCUGAGAGGGUGAUCGGCCACACUGGAACUGAGACACGGUCCAGACUCCUACGGGAGGCAGCAGUAGGGAAUCUUCCGCAAUGGGCGAAAGCCUGACGGAGCAACGCCGCGUGAGUGAUGAAGGUCUUCGGAUCGUAAAACUCUGUUAUUAGGGAAGAACAUAUGUGUAAGUAACUGUGCACAUCUUGACGGUACCUAAUCAGAAAGCCACGGCUAACUACGUG